rnacentral:lncRNA from 1 species
GGACCCCCCCUGAAAAAGAGAUUGAUGAUCUCAACAGGACUAGUCUGGUUACAUCAAAUCAAAAAGACACACAACCUGCCUCCUGUCUUUGUCCUCUACAGAAAACCUGAUCCAGCUGCAGGACUCACAUCUGGGACAUGUAAGACCACAUGGAUCCAUGACACUGACGGAGCGGUAACAUGACAUCCAGCAGAAACAGACACAAUAAAGACAAACAGACGAGGUGAUUUCAGUGACUCAGUUUGAGGAUUUUUAUGAUUUUUUUACCCACAAUCAGAGACUUGACCACAAUCUGAGCUGAGUCAGAAACAUCCAAACAGUGGGACUAAUAAAUGUGAUUAUUAUUAUUAGAGUGAUUGAAAAGCUCAUAACAACAUGUAGAUCUGUCCAAAGUCUGAUUCUAGAUGUCUUUACAAACACACUGAUCCAACAGAAGCAGACAGAAAUAUCCAUCGAUCACAUGAACACAAAUAUUCAGCAAACAGAGAAAGAAACAGAUCAUCUGAAGAGUUUUUGGGGACGACUGGAAAGACUUUAGACGCUUGGAUUUGGGACAGGAAAUAAGGUCGUCCUUUUUCUGUGAUUUUGACCUCACUUUUUUCUAAAGUCUCAGACCUUCAACAUCUGCACCAACUGAAGGUGAUUUGAACAAACCAUCAUCUUGAUGUUGUUGAUAUCAAACUGUAUGAAGAUUUUUCAACAUGAGAAAUACAAACAAUCAAAGUUCUCCACAAUCACUGUCCUUAAAGCUGCGACCAAAUCAGCAUCUUUAGAAAAGAAUCAAAAAGCUGAAAUGAAGAACUAAACCCAGAGUUUUUGGUGAGACUGAUCCACAAACAUUUACAAACCAGAACAUUUCAAGAGUUCAAGGAUCUCAGUCCAUGAUUUUGGUCUGAUGGACUCAAAAUUCUCUUUAGUUCACUUCUAUAAACUCAGCAGAGUCUCCAACAGACCAGCCUAACCCCAGUCCAGCAUGUAGAGGUUCAGUGAAUGUGGUCUGGACUCUGUGGAGGAGAGUCAUGGUUUCAGAGACGCUGUAGAAGGACAGAAUACCUGCUCUGUGAUCCAGGUACACUCCUACUCUGGAGGACGGAGGACCUGAGACAUCAGUGAGGACUUUGUUGUGACCAAAUUGAUAACUGUGUUUAUCACAGUCUAACCUCCAAGAUUUGUCAUUUUCUCCAAAUACACAAUCCUCUGAGUCUCCGUCUCUCCUGAUAGUCUUGUAUGCGACUGCUACAAUAACCCCGCCCCCUCUCCAGUCCACCUCCCAGUAACAACGUCCAGUCAGACUCUCUCUACUCAGGACCUGAAGAUAAUCAGUGAAUCUGUCUGGAUGAUCAGGAUAAGACUGUUCUUCUGCUGUCACUGUUGCUCUUCUGUUUCCAUCAGAUAAUAACAGCUCUCUGUUUACUGUGUUUGGAUCCAGUGUGAUUCUUCGUGAAUAUCUUAAGAAACCAGCUCUGGUCUUGGGUUCUGCUGGUUCUGGUUCUGGUCGUUCUGACAGUAAAACAUCCACUUCAGUCACUGCCUGUGAGACGUUUGUCCACGUCUCUGUCAGAAGAUCCUGGAGUUUAUCUCUGAGCUCUGACACAGCUGCUGUCACCUCCUCAAAGUAUCUCAGAGGACGGAUGUUGAUCCUGGAUGAGUCUGCAGGUUGACCCGGUUCUGACAGUGAGGGGUAGCUGUGCAGAAACUGGUUGUGGUCCUCUGUGAGUGAGAGCUUCUGCAGAUCAGCGUCUUUCCUCUUCAGCUCAGUGAUCUCCUGCUCCAGUUUCUCCUGAAGGUCUUUGACUCGACUCACUUCACGUUCCUGCUGGGAUCUGACCUGCUGCUCCACCUCAGAGCGGCGUUUCUCCAUCAGACGGAUCAGCUGGCUGAAGAUCUCCUGGCUGUGCUCCACAGCUUUAUCAGCAGAGCCGUUGAUAGCCUCCACCUCCUGUUGGAGCAGCUUCACAUCUUCUUCUCUGUCCUGGAUUCUCUGCUGGAUGUUUUCUCGACCCUCCUCCAGAUCUUUCUGCCUCUCAGUCCUUUCUGCUGCAGCUGAGACUGUGUCGUGACCUUUGUGUUGGUCCAAACAGCAGAGAUAACAGAUGGACUUCUGAUCAGUGCGGCAGAACAUCUUCAUCACCUCAUCAUGACGAGAGCAGAUUUUCUCCUGGAGCUUCUUGGAGGGCUCCACCAGCUUGUGUUUCUUAAAUGGAGUAACUUCAAAAUGAGGCUGGAGGUGAAUCUGACAGUAAGAAGCCAAACAUUGAAGACAGGACUUGACAGCUUUCAGUUUUCUCCCACUGCAGAAAUCACAGGCCACAUCUUCAGGUCCAGCCUCAGAGGAACCAUCAGGAGCAGCUUGGAGUCCGCUCUUCUUCACUUCCUCCACUAAACCUGCUAACAUGGUGUUUUUCUUCAGGACAGGCCUCGGUCUGAAGGUCUCUCUGCACUGAGGACAGCUGUAGAUCCUCCUCUCAUCCUCAGUAUCCCAGUAGGAUUGAAUACAGCUCAUGCAGAAGCUGUGUCCACAGGUGACAGUCACCGGAUCCUUCAGAAGAUCCAAACAGAUGGAACAAGAGAAAGACUCACGGUCCAGAUGAACUCCUUUCUGCGCCAUUUCAACACUCGCUGUCGACGACGACGACUGACUGAGUUUCAUUUCCUGAGAAGUGAAACUAGUCUGAGCUCUGAUCUCAACAACAUGUGCGUCAGCAGGAUAUGACCUCAGCACACGACGGUUACACCCAACCAAGACUGUAGAACUGAGGGGGAGGGAGGAAGGAAGGGGAGGAAACAAGGAAGUGAGAGUGCAGAGUGGAGUGAGCUGUGAGAGACAGUGAGUGCAGAGUGGAGUGAGCUGUGAGAGACGGGGGGGGGGGGGACCAGUUUAUCUACAAUCCAGGAAGAGGAGCGUCUCUGUGAACUUUAGACUCUCAAACUCCAACAAGCAGAAGUUCUUAAAGCUGCAGCCGUCCUGAAGAUCGCUGCUCGCUUGUAUCGUUCCAAUUAAAUUCAGAUAUAAUGCAGAUCAAUACUUCAGAUCAUUACAAAUGGGGCCCAGUCAAGGUGAAAGUCAAAAGCAUUGGUGCUACUGUAGAUGCCAACAGACUACCAGCAAACACAAUGUUUGCAGGACUUCUACAACGAGGAUAAAGUGACAUAGUCCAGGACCCGAGGGAGGACAGUUUAGCGAUGGCGCUACAACACGCUACAGCAGGUCCGUUUGACAAGAAACACUUCUGUUACAGACACUUGUCUUACUUUGUUAAAGCGGUUUACCUGUCCAGCAGAAAGGUUACAGGGUCACCAAGAUCCCCAAGCGUCCCCCAUCGUUUAUGUUGACCCGGCUUUUUAGCUCUUGUCCGGUCUACCUCCGUUUUAAGCGCCCGUUAUUCCUCCAGAGUCUCCGGUAUUUACUUUGUUUUCUUGCUUGUGUCGGCAGUCGUGGCCAAAGGAGGAUUCAGACAAUUUUCCGAACUUUCUGGUUGGUUUCUACUGUCCGAUAUUGUAGCACGCUAACUUUGUUUGGGCUCCUGAACGACACGGGGGAGCAGCGUCUGCCUCACAACCAAUCAGGUUAGAGGAGGUGGAGAACGGCUUUGUUUACAGUCAGAAAGAGCGGACCGCUCAAAAAUGUUCAAAUGUUGACAACACAGACAUAAGAGAACACAGAGAUAUCGAUAUAUUACCAAAUAAUCAAUAACUAAUAACUAUUGACUGAUAUUAAAAGAUUUUUUGUUAAUAAAUUUUGUAAAAAGUUGGGUUGUUUGUUGGGUUGGUAUGUAGUUUUUUGGUUAGUUGGUUGUUUCUGGUCUUUGACACUCUGAGUGUGUCUUUGGGCUGAAAGUGUGUCACUCUGGAAUAAAUGUCUGUGAACGUGUUGACAAAAACAUCCACCUUUGUCAAUAACGCCUCCUGUGCUGCACCAUUUAAAGCACAGAGGUUCCUCUUUGUGGAGUCCACCCAAGAGGAGGCAUAUAUAUGUGUGUGUGUGUGUGUGUGUGUGUGUGUGUGUGUGUGUGUGUGUGUGUGUGUGUGAGUGUGUUGAAAAACUGCAGUCAGUCAGAGUGUGUUUAUAUUUGCUCCACAACAGACCAAAGAAGUUCUGGAGCUCUAAAUCACACAGCUGCACCUCUUUAUCUUUGCUCUCCCUGAAAAAUAAGACCCUUCGAUCAGACCCUCGCUGGGAAUCGAACAGUGUGCAGCGGUUCAGCGGGUUACAGUGGCGUUUAUGUUUACACUAACCACAGAAAUAUAAGCGUCUGCAUGUUUCUGGGAUUGAUUUUUGUCGCGCUGGGGCCGAACUCUCAAAACAGAAAUGUGUGAGUUCAAGAAAACUUGAGAGUGAAGAUGAUUGAAAGAGAGAGAGAGCGGCUCUGAGGGUCACUUCAUUUACAGCUGACAGACAAACAGAGAGUGAGCGAGGGCUCAGCAGUGAUCCUUCUGAUGCUGCAAACCCCUUUUUUUAUUCUCAGAGCUCCUUACUUUACAUCAAUAAUAUAAAAAAAUACAGUAUAACACAUAUAUAUACUAUAAUAUAAUAUAACGUCAGUGACUUGUUGCUUCCUCUGCCUCUGUGGUUUUGAGAAGACGCUCAGGUUUGAGUAUUUUUUCAUUUACUAGGAUGCUGCUACCUUCAAAAGUCCUGAAAGAGUCAGAUCCACCUGUGAGUGAUGGCGCUGGAGAAAGACGUGACCCCCCCGACAUUUAUGGGAGAUCCAGAUGGCCGACACGCCGCCUGUGAAGUAUUUAGAGCUGAAGUGUGAACCGGCCGACCUCGUCUGGGUUUGUGUCCGACCUGAUCGUUACCGACGGCGUCUGGGUCUGCACUCAUCCUCUUUGAAAAGGAGAGAUGAAUGACUGUACUUUUAACACACACACACACACACACACACACUCUCAGACCCCUGCUGAGCCACCUGCAGGGCUCGGUCUAAUACAAAGUAUGAUUGACAGGUGAUAUUUGGGAGGAUGAGUCAGAGAAGAUGGGAGCUGAAGUCAACAUCAAGAGGAGAGACAAUGAAACUCAGAAACACACACACACACACACAGGGGUAACACUCACUGCAGCUUGAACACACGGUUUAUUAUUUUCCACGUUUUAAAGUUGUUGUUUGACCCUAAAGAGGAUCUUUAUUUUUGUUUUUUAUGCUCUAAAGGUGAAGAAAAAUCAGGUGAAUAAUCUCCAUUCGAAAACUUUUCAUUUAUUGGCAACUACAAAUACUGAGAGUAAAAAUCAAGUGAAUGAAAUGAGACGUUUUUAUUUUUUAAUGUUGACUUUAAGAGUUAGAUAAAUGAUUCUCUGUUGCACCAGUGAGGUCUAAAAUUAGACUCAGACGGAGGAGACAGCUUCAGAGUUUUUACUCUGUCAGAUACACAAG